rnacentral:lncRNA from 1 species
GCCUGUGCCUGCUCACUCAGCAUCACACUCUUCCCUGCUUGUUUAUUACCCAGUCUUCAUAUGUUAAGCUUGCUUUCUUUCCAUGUUGCCAGAGCAACUGCUCCUUAAAGUUCCCCAAGCGUACCCUGGACGUGCUUGUGUUCACCAGCAGCUCCAGCACUCAGCAGGCUGAGGAAGAACCAUCUCCGUUAGUUCAAGGCCAGCCUGGACUAUAUAGUAACUUCCAAGUCAGCCUGGGCUAAACAAAGCGAGACCCUGUCUCAAACCCAAAACAAAGGCUGACAAACUGAGCUGACUCAGAAGAUAAAGGUGCUGCUAAGCCUGGCAGCCCGAGGUUGUUUGAUCUCUGGAACUCAAGAGGUUUAAAAAAAAAAAAAAUCAAUUUCUGAAGGUUGCCCUUUGACCUCUGCAUGUAUGCUGCUGCACAUGCAUCAUGGGUACACACACACACACACACUCCACCUGCCUCCCAAAGUUACCUAAGGUUUGUCUAGAGUACACAGCAGUGAGGAGCCACUCCUUAGUGUAAUUUUAAGCUCUGGCUGGCAAUGCUUCCUUCCUUAAUCAUUAUAACAGUAAAUAGAACCCGUGCUGCGCAUGCACACGGGUGUGUCCGCAGUGCACUGUCACUUACACAAGUGCACUUCAGGUUUCUUCUUUUCAUCAAAAUGAGGAAAUAGAACAUGUUUUGUUAAUGGUGAUUUUACAAGGAAGUGUGAGUUCAGGUUCUGUGGGCGUGCUAAGAGAUAGAGUUUAGGGGAGGAAAGGCUGCUGCUGGAUGUUAGCUGCGAGAUGUUCAGGAGAGAGGAAACCCACGCACUCAUGCUGUGCACUCCAGAUGUGCCGCUCAGGCCUGAGGUAAUGGUGAUCUGAAAGCCCUUGCCUACAUCCAUGCUGUAUGGACCAUUUAUUCAAGAAAACCCUCUUAAAAUGUGCUAUUGGUCACAGGUGUGAGGGGCUAAUUAAAAGUUUGAUAUGUGAGCUCUCAGAAAACACCAAAGGACCAUCAUUUUGACUCCUGCAGCUGUCCAGGUGGGUGCUUGUCUUGGCCCGUGGUCAUUGGAGCACGUCCGUGAAGGCUGCUGCACCUAGCUGUACCAGGAUGGCGCUGCACUCUGCUCUCUAGGAAGGUGGCAGCUGAAUCUCUGGUGCUGUAAUCCCUAGAACUCCGAGACAGCAGGGUUGCUCCCCAGCAAAGACGGCGUUUCAACAUUCAUGUAAUCUUCUCAUAGGAAGCUGGGGGACUCUAGAUGUGGUUGCACACAACCCUAGUACUUGCGAGGCUGAGGCAGGAAGAUUGUUAGUUCAAGGCCACCUAGACUAUGUAGCAGGAUGAGAGAGGGAGAGAGAGAGGGAGAGGGAGAGAGAGAGAAUAUGAAUGUGUGUAUGUGUCUGUGAGAGAUGUAGGGGGAACAUAAAUUAGUACCUUUGUUAUAUCUCAAGCAGGGGUGAAGUUUUAAAUCUGAAAAUUUGGAUAUCUGAAUUAGAAAUUGGGCAUCCCUAAUAGGUUAAGUUGGUGUGUGAGUGUGUGAGUGUGUGUGUGUGUGUGUGUGUAUGGAGGAACAAUAGACUUUGGAACUUUUUUUUUUCAGAAAGGAUAUUUAUCUCUGUAUCUCUUCUCAGUUGGCAGAGAAUAGCUAUCUAGAGCACUGCUCAGGCCUCCUGAAAGAUAGAUUUAGGGAAGUUGUAGCUCGCUUAAUAACCAUCUGUGGAGUGACAUAGAUUGACACACCCAAUUACACAAGCCUGGAGUCUGAGAACUGGUGAUGUGCAAUCAUCUCAUCCGCAUCUGCUGGUCAUUAUCAACAGCGAUAAUGGCUCAGCUAUUUCUUCAGGGCCAUGAAAAAAGACAGGGUAGCUCUAUCAAAGGUUAAGUCAGCUCUGAAGAGAAUAGCCUUUCCCACCCUCUUCUUCCCAAACUUCUCUUUAAACAUUCUCUUUUGAGAGGUUUUGAAAGAAUUCAUUUUGUUUCUUGUUUUUCAAAUAUAUGUAUAUAUAUGAAAUAUAUAUAUAUGUAUCUAUAUGACUAUAUAUGAAAAACAAGAAACAAAAUGAAUACAUACAUACAUACAUAGACAUGUGCAUAUACAUAUGCUGCUCCUUCUGAAAACAGAAAAGAUCAAAGUAUUGUAGGCCAUUUUCUCAAAUUGAAUUUCUUUGUCAUGUGCAAGCUUUUGGUGACAUCACAGUGCUUUAUUUGUGUGAAGGUAUUCAUUCUUUCUAGUUUAUGGUUUUGUCACAUCUGCUAUUAAGUCACCUGUGGGCAAUUUUCUAAUGCAAUGCAUUUGGGUCACCAUGAGUAGGAGGGAAGGAGUCAGUUUACAGGGAUGAUUUGCAUGUGAGAACAUAAGCUGUACUAGUCUGUCCACACUCACAGGGGCAUCGGUACCUUUUACAGAGACUGGGCAGUGUGUCUGCAGAUACUGAGGCAGGCAUCCGUGCGAUCUCAGGCCAGCUUGCUCUGUGGGUACCAGGGUGAGUUAGGGACAACAAAGCCAGCUCCCCUGCCUGUUCCUCUUUGUAGAGCUGGAAUGUUAGUUGGCAAAAGUGUGGGCUCUUCUUUUAGGAGAUGUACUGUUGGCUCUGGGAGAGUGUGCUAGGAUUCACGUCCUCUGUGGGAAGAGGACACACUGUUGCCUUAUCGUAAAAGUCAUCUUACUGUCCCUGAACCAUGCAUGGUUCUGUGGCUAUCUAAUGGCACUGCAGGGCUUCUGGCUAGGAUGGGAAAUAGGCAGUGUCAUGGAAAAUACUGAGCUUCUCCACAGCUUUCUGUGAGAGGAAGUCCCAUGUGGUAGAUGAUCUCUGAUUUUGCCAACUGUAGCUUUGGUGUUUUAAAGUUUAUGUGCCUUGUUUUUGGAAUGUGUCUCUCUCUACAACACAAAUGCUUAAUGAGGUCUCAUUGUUUUGACAAAUGGUCAGACACAAGGGGGUCAGAGCAGUGCUGUUAUAGCUGGGACUAAGAGUGUUAUGUAGGCAGUGGUGAUGGGCUUGUUUGCUGUUUGAGAACUGCUGUAGAAUAUGAGGAAGCACCCCGAGUCGAGUUUCCAGAAGUCCAGGUAAUGACAAUGUGAGCCCAGGGUAUGUGCUAGAUAAAAAGACCAAAAAAAGCAAAACUCUUUGGAGCCAUCCAUUUCAUUCAUUCAUUCAUAUAUGCAUGCAUGACUAGACUCAUUCAACAAAUAUUUAAGUGCCCACCAGGUGCCAGGAACUGAAUUGCUGGGGGUUUUUGAAGAAAAUGCUAAAACCUCCAUUUGUGGGGCUGCAGUGAGCAUAGGCCAGCACUGACUUGUUCCUGAUGGUUAGUGAUGUGUACAGGUAAGCCUGCCCUUUUCUCUUGGGCUUUUGUUUGGAAUCCCUGCACUUUGUUACAGUGGCCUCCCUGCUAGAUACAGGGUAGCUGAUGAUGCAUUUAAUCCUUAGAAAAACCUCAGUGACUUAAUCAGGAUGUAAAAGAUGAUGAACUUUGAAGAGGUCAUAACUUGGGGCUGAAGAGGUGGCUCAGCAGUUAAGAGAUCACUGGCUGCUCUUCCUGAGGUGCUGGGUUCAAUUCCCAGCACCCAUUGUCAGCUUACAACUGGCUAUAACUCCAGUUCUAGGGGAUCUGAUACCCUUUUCUGACCUCCUUGGGUAUUGCUUACUUGUGGUACAUAGAUAUAUAUGCAGAUUAAAAAAGACACUGAUAAACAGAAUAUAUAUAUGUGUGUGUGUGUGUGUGUGUGUGUGUGUGUGUAACCAGUUUGCUAUGUAUCAAACAGCACAUUGUAGGAAAAGAGUGGACUCAAGAGAAGGUACCACAGUCAUAAGUGUUGUUUGGGGUGUGUAUGUGUAUAUGUGGUAUAAAGUAUAUUUUUACCCUAGGUUAUUAUAAAAUGUCAGCAAGAUACAGCUUCCUUAGCUGUGGACCCACAGAUUGGUGUUAGCAGAUUGUGACAUUUAGGCCUUAGAAAAACUAAGUUUCCAAGAGCACGGAGAUAGUAGCCACACAACACCCAGUCACCUGCUCCCUUGAUAGUGCUGAGGAUGCCUGGGAAUCAAAUCUUAUCUUCUGCGUGGUGCUGUGGAUGCUUUAGAGAUGUUGACAGAACCUGAAAAGGGAAGCUGACCCUCACCUGCUGAGUAGGUGAAAAUUCGGCCAUGGAGUCCCACUGUUUGCAGAUAAAGACAGAACAUGUCUCCAGGGAAUUCUGGCAUGGAUGAUGGAAUGAGCGUGAUAGCCUUAGUGAUCAGCACAGGCUGCGUGUGAUGUUUCUGUGUUAGCUCAUGUAAUUGCUAAUUACUUUGGCAGAGGGGCCGUAGCUGUUGGGAGUGAGAAGGGCGCCUAUCAGCAAGCCCACAUUUCUGUACGCUGCCUUCAGUUCCUUCUUUUGUUUCUGCUGAGGUCGGAGCUGUUUUCCUCAGAGCCUGGCUCACCUGGCAUGCACUCCCUCAUUUUUCUUUUGCUGCACUAUAUAUUGCUUGCUUCAUUAGCCGGGUGACAGUGGGUCCUGUAGAGAUGCUAGUGAGUGAGCCCAGUUCAUCUCUACGUUUUCCUGGCCUGUCAUAUUCUCUGAAGGGCGUGCAUAUCCUACCGUGUGGAGUGUUGGGGUGAAAACUUUAAAACAGUAUACCCCAAGAAAAACAUUCUUUUGAGCCUGCCUGCCAGUGUGUGCACAGUCUUAGGAAGGCUUAAUUUUAGACCAUUCUAACGUUUCCUCCAGCUUCCCAGUGGAGGGUCUUGCACCUCCCCCCAUACCCUUCCAGGAUACACAUACUUCAUUUUGCAGACCACUGAUCCAGAAGGUAAAUUGAAGAGUUUAAUGCCAAAGCUGUUGGCUCUUUCGUUAACUAGAUUAUCUUUUACUCCCAGUGUUCCUAAUGCCCUUCUGCAAAGUAGCUUUUGUGAAUGACUGCAUGAAUUGAGAGGCUACAUUUUUGAGGUGGAAAAGAUGAGGAUAGAGCAUGCACGUGAAUUAAGUUGAAUCUGUUGUUGCCAGAAUACUGUUUUUGAUUUUGGAAAAGGAGAACCAACAGCUCUCCCUGUAACAGUCUGGGUUGGUGUUUGGUGUGAUUAAGUCUCUCCUUCAUAUCGUGGUGACUAGCCUGGCUCAUGAUCCAGAGUUAGAGCUUGGUAAAUGUUUAUUG